CGGACGGGUGAGUAACACGUGGAUAACCUACCUAUAANACUGGGAUAACUUCGGGAAACCGGAGCUAAUACCGGAUAAUAUAUUGAACCGCAUGGUUCAAUAGUGAAAGACGGUUUUGCUGUCACUUAUAGAUGGAUCCGCGCCGCAUUAGCUAGUUGGUAAGGUAACGGCUUACCAAGGCAACGAUGCGUAGCCGACCUGAGAGGGUGAUCGGCCACACUGGAACUGAGACACGGUCCAGACUCCUACGGGAGGCAGCAGCG
rnacentral:rRNA from 1 species